AUGGACAUGGAGCGCCGCGCGGACACCCCGAUCGCCGCGGGGCGGCAGCCUGCGAAUCUAUGGCGCAAGGCGUUGGACGCCAUCCGGGCGUGCAACAGGCUUGGGCACGUCGUGAGGCGGAGCACCUCCUACACCGCCAUCACGAUCCACCACCACGACGGUCACUCCGACGCUGAUGCCGACUCGUGGUACCCUGCUGCCGCCGCCGCCGCCGCCGACGUCGACGGCGGUUCCUUGAAGCGCCUGCUCAAGGAGAUGGACGAGGAGUGCUUCCGCCGCCUCGGUGGCGGCGCCGGCGUCGCAGCCAAGCUCGCCUCCCACCCGGAGCGGGGCAUCGCCGGGGACGCCGACGACGUGCGACGGCGCAAGGCUGACUUCGGCGUCAACGCGUGCCCGAAGCCCGAGUUCAAGAGCUUCUUUGGCCACGUCCGGGACGCGCUCAGCGACGUUUUCCUCAUCGCCCUCCUCGUUUGCUCCGCCGUUUCCCUCGGCGUCGGUAUCAAGGAGCACGGCCUCAAGGACGGGUGGUACGACGGCGCCAGCCUCUUCCUCGCCGUGUUCCUCGUCUCCAGCUUGACGGCCGUCUGCAGCCAUAGGCAGGCCAGGCGGGCCGACAAGCUGGCCAGCGAGUCCGCCGACACCGUCGUCACCGUCGUCCGCGCCGCCCGGAGGCAGGAGGUCUCCACAUUCGACGUCGUCGUGGGCGAUGUGGUAAUACUGAGAAGCGGCGACGCCGUGCCGGCGGACGGGGUGCUCCUCCAUGGCCACGGCCUGCGGGUCGACGAGCCCCACCCUGGCCCGGUGGAAAUCCAAGCCGAGAGAAACCCCUUCCUCGCCUCCGGUGUGAAGGUGCUCGACGGCCACGGCUCCAUGCUCGUCACCGCAGUCGGCACCGACACGUCGUUGGGCGAGGCCUUGAGGAGCCACACAGACCCUCACCCGGCGACGCUCCAGGAGCGUCUCGAGGGCCACACCUCGACCGUCGGCAAGGUGGCCGACGCCGUCGCUGCUGUCGCCUUCACCGUGCUCACCGCGCGCCAUUUCACUGGCUGCGGCACGGGAAUGAUGCCGCUGCUGGACAAGGGCGUCGCGCUCGCGGCGACGCUGAUGCUCACCUUAUCCAUGAAGCCGGUGGUCAUGGACAACGCGCUGGUCCACCGUCUGUCGGCUUUGGAGACGAUGGCGUCCGUCACGGCCAUCUGCGCCGACAAGACUGGAACGCUGACGCUGAACCAGAUGAGCGUGGCCGAGUUCUGGGUCGGCGCUGAGCAGCCUUCAUCCGCCACGGCGAUCGCCGGUGGCGUUGUGAACUUGCUGCGCCAGGGAGCCGGCCUUAACACCACCGGGAGCGUGUACAUGCCGGACAACGCGUCGCCGCCGGAGAUAUCGGGCAGCCCGACGGAGAAGGCGCUGCUGUCGUGGGCGGUGGCGUGCCUCGGCAUGGACGCCGCCACGCUCAGGAGGAGCUUCAGUGUCCUAGAAGUCGAGGCGUUCGACUCUCACCGGAAGCACAGCCGGGCCGUAAUCAGGGACAAUGCCAACGGCGUGGUGCUCGCGCACUGGAAAGGCGCCGCUGAUGUCGUCCUGGCGGGGUGCUCCAUGUACGUGGACACAAGGGGAGAUGCGCGUGAACUCGGCGUCGAGCAGCGGAACAUGCUUGAGAAGGUGAGCAACGACAUGGGGGCCCGAGGCCUCCGGUGCAUCGCCUUCGCCUGCAAGCAGGUCCACCGCACCGAGCCAUCAGAGAUCGACGACGAGGCGGGUCUGACAUUGCUAGGCUUGGUCGGCUUGCACGACCCGUGCCGACCAGAGGUCAAGGCCGCCACUGAAGCAUGCACCAGGGCGGGCGUGGCUGUCAAGAUGGUCACCGGCGACAACAUUCCGACGGCCUGCGCGGCCGCCAACGGGUGCGGCAUCAUGUCCAGCGACGACUCCAAUGGAGUCGUCAUCGAGGGCCCCGAGUUCGUGGGCAUGCCGCCAGCGCGCCAGCUCGAGAUGGUUGACAAGCUCCGCGUCAUGGCGAGGUCGCGGUCCGGCGACAAGCAGGUGCUGGUGGAGCGGCUGAAGCAGAAGGGGCACGUGGUGGCCGUGACCACCGGCGAAGGCACCAGCGACGCGCGGGCGCUCGGGGCGGCCGACGUGGUGCUGUACAUGCGCGCCCCGGGCGCCCGUGUCGCUGGCAGUGUCAGGGACAUCAUCAUACUCAAGGGCAGGUUCGACGCUGUGGUCGCCGCAAUCCGGAUGGGCCGCUGCGUUUACAACAACUUCCAGAAGAUGGUCCAGUUCUACCUCACCGUAAACGUCGUGGCGAUCGUCGUCAACUUCGUGCCGGCGGUCACCACGGGCGACACUCCGCUGACGACCGAGCAGCUCCUGUGGGUGAACAUUGUGAUAGGCGCCUUGAGCGCGCUGGCGGUCGCCACGGACAAGCCCAGCGACGCGCUCAUGGACAGCCCGCCCGUCGCCCGCACGGCGCCGCUCGUCAGCAACGCCAUGUGGCGCGACCUCGCCGCGCAGGCGGCGUUCCAGGUCGCCGUGCUGCUGGCGCUCCAGUACCGUGGCCGCGACGUCCUCGGCACCGACGCCAAGGCCAUGGUCUUCAACGUCUACGUGCUCUGCCAGGUGUUCAACAAGUUCAACACGCGGGAGAUGGAGAAGAAGAAUGCUUUCGCCGGGGUGCUCACGAGCAGCAGCACGAUGUUCCUCGUCUUCAUCGCCGGCAUGCUCGUGCUGCAGGUGGUGAUGGUGGAGGUGCUCGGCAGGCUCGCCGGCGCUGAGAGGCUCGGCCUGGGGCAGUGGGGCAUCUGCGUCGCCAUGGCCGCCGUGUCGUGGCCCGUCGCCAUGGCCGCCAAGUUCAUCCCCGUGACAUCGCCGUGCAGGAGCUCAUCACACGCCAACGCAUUAUGUUAG
rnacentral:rRNA from 1 species